AUUGGUGACUACCGCACAGCAGAUAUUAAUUUAAAUGAGUAAUUUAAUAGUAUAUCGGAUGAAAAAAGAUUAUUUAUACAGAAGUGCAUCGGGAAUAAUUUGAAAAUCAACGGGAUGUCACUGCGAGUAUAUCACAUUGUUUUUCGGAAGGUUAACCUGUACUCUGAUAAUCAUAUGACAGCACCCAGACGAUUGCACCUGAUGGAAUUCCUAUGCGUGCUGAUACCUCAUUUUACAAUUAGUAGAGUGAUAACUACUGAAAGUAAAUGUCAUCAUUUCGGAGUAUGAGAAUGGAAGUGCAUUAUCAAAAGCAGAGGGUCUAGACUGAUGGGUGGAAGAUUGAAUUCAAUCGAGAGAUGAGCAAUAUCUAGCUUAAUUGUUUUUUUAAAUGAAUACCAAACGAGUUAUUCACUGCUAUUCGUUUCAUUCUUCCAAAAUGAACUGUAUUUGUCCCAGGGAAGAAUGCAAAGCUAAAAUGACAAAGUCCUUGCAGUAUGUGUCAAAUGUAAUUAUUACACCUCUGUGUACCUCGGUGGAGAGUCAGUGUCGGUGUUUCGCCGGGCAAGGACCAGCCGCCAGCCACAAGCAUAUUGUUGCUCUGUUAUGGAAAACGACACAAAGAGUUUGAGGGGAAAAAAUCAUACUACAACGCACAUGUAUCUACUCAAAAACUGCAGUCAUUCAACAAACCAUGGAUAUGAAAUCCCAAUCAGCUCAAGACUUGGAGGCCUAUACAAGAGAAACUAUAACCACAGAAUCCGAAAUGCGUGCAUCAACUUUGGUGAAUCUCAUGACAGCUCGAUAUCAUUCGAGCAUUCUAUUAUGCCGGCCAACACA
rnacentral:lncRNA from 1 species